AAAAGAAGGUCAUGAUGGUUUCUACUACAUCCCAGCUGACUUGAAGGGGUUCAGCCUACGUGGGGGAUUAUAGCCCACACUAUUCCCAGGAGUGUCCUGGAAAAGUACAAGCCAUUAUUUACAAGGCAGCAGGAUGCCGGCUUCCUCUGACAUCGCUUGUGGCUGGGCUGCCGCCGCUGCAUCCAUUUCUGAAAAUGCCUCCGAUAAUGUGGCCGGCCCGCCAGGCCCAUGCAGCUGAAUGAUAUGAUUGGAGAAGAUGCCAUAUCUCUUGCCUCCAGAAGCAAAGGAGCAGUGAGGGCGCUGAAGACCUUGUGUGAUGUAAACCCAGGUCCGGCCUAUCCUCUUCCCCCUCUCUCUGUUUAUCUGUUUCUAAAGAAGGCUGCAUCCACGGCGAUGGGGGUGGGCAUUGUGCACAGAUCUAUGAAAACACCCGGGCCGCCUUCUUGCUGCCAUCCCUGUGUGCUGGCCGCCAGGCUGGGAGGCACUGGGACGUGUGGGCCGCAGCUGCCCUGAGAUAAAGUGCUGCCAGCUGCCCACAGCAGCCAAAGAGUCAUCAGCCCUGAUAUCCCACCCAGAGCUCAGCCCCCCUUGCCACCUGCUCCAGAGUGAAUGUUCAAGAACCAGCUUGCUCCCCUCCUAGGCCCUGGGUACCCCCCACCCACUGCAUGGCAGAACAGGGAUGUCUAAUGCUCUCUCUCUAUGUGCCAGGCCAGGCUCUUCAUGGUUGUACUGUUUAACCCAAAGGGUAGAAUUUGGCCUCCUCCCAUUUUACAAGCAUGAGUGUUUCCUUGCCCAAGGUCACCCAGCUGGUGUUGGGCAGACCUGGGGCCGCGUCCCUCCUCUGCCCGCCUGUGCUGAGCACUUGACUUGAUGUUUUUAGGCCCACUCUCCCCGCAUGUACACAGGGGCUGCUCUGCUGACCGCCCUCUGGGCUGGGCUCCUCCCAGGGCUGGCCCUGCUUCCCAAGACAAGUUGAAGGCUUUCACUGACCUUCGGGUGGGCACCCCCUUCUCCUGGCCCCUCUAUGGGAAGGGCACAGAGAGGUCAUGAUGGUUUGUCUCUAGGUCCUAACGCUCCGGUUCCUGCAGUUGUGGCCUCUCUUGGUGUUCUGGGAGGGGGGAUGGGGCCGGUAGGCAGGAGGCCAGUCCUUAGAAGGCAGACCCCCAAACCACCAAUGGGAAAGCCCAUGAUCCCUCUGGACAGCACCGCAGGGUUGACAAAGCAUGGCCACACAGCCUCCCACUCACUGGAUAUUCCUCAUCUGCCAUGUCUGACGUCCCUGAGGUCCCUGCCUCAUCUGAGGCUGCCAGGAGGUAUGGUCACACCCGAAUGCCCAGGUGAGGCCAUGGAAGCCAGACAAGGAGCCCACUGCCCCCUGCCCAGCAACGAGAGUGCCUCUCUCCCAUCGUUGUGUGAGGGUGAGGGCUGCGGCCUCUCAGAUGUCUGAGGUCAUCUAAUUCCACCCCCU